rnacentral:rRNA from 1 species
UACGUAGGGUGCAAGCGUUGUCCGGAAUUAUUGGGCGUAAAGAGCUCGUAGGCGGUUCGUCGCGUCGGCUGUGAAAUCCCGAGGCUCAACCUCGGGUCUGCAGUCGAUACGGGCGGACUGGAGUUCGGCAGGGGAGACGUGGAAUUCCUGGUGUAGCGGUGAAAUGCGCAGAUAUCAGGAGGAACACCGGUGGCGAAGGCGGGUCUCUGGGCCGAUGACUGACGCUGAGGAGCGAAAGCGUGGGGAGCGAACAGGGA